rnacentral:ncRNA from 2 species
AUGAUGGUUGCAGGAGAGAUCGCUUAAGCGGCGCCGAAGGAGAAAGUGCUUUGUCAAACUCUCAGGCAAAAGGACUGUAACCGGACU